rnacentral:rRNA from 1 species
UACGUAGGGUGCGAGCGUUAAUCGGAAUUACUGGGCGUAAAGCGCACGUAGGCGGAUUGUUUAGUCAGGGGGGAAAUCCCGGAGCUCAACUUCGGAACUGCCUUUGAUACUGGCAAUCUCGAGUCCGAUAGAGGUGGGUGGAAUUCCUAGUGUAGAGGUGAAAUUCGUAGAUAUUCGCAAGAACACCAGUGGCGAAGGCGGCUCACUGGCCCGGUACUGACGCUGAGGCACGAAGGCCAGGGGAGCAAACGGG